rnacentral:lncRNA from 1 species
UUCAACUGCUUUGGAGUGAAAAAUGUCAUAAGCGUGGGUGGUGCCUUCAGUGUGUUGCUGUUGUUUAAGUGAUGGUCUCGUUUCCCAAGAACAUCCUCUGUUCCUUUACCCUUCCCGCCUCCCGUUUCUCCUGCAGUAGUGAUGUUCUGUCUCUCCUCUGUAGGUGAGCCCAACCAAUUAACACCCUUUGAAGGAGCUGCUACAAUGUCAGAGGUACCUAAGAACAGCCCAACUCCCUCCCUCCCGCCAGAUUACCUCCAGGGCCACUUCAUGCCAUCCUUUCUUACCUGGACUCUCCCAAGGUUGCUUUCAGAUUGGUUCCAACAGCCAACAGUUAUUGGGUCCCAGCAAGGAAGGUCCUCCUAAAAGUCCUUCAUUUGGUGGAAGCACAGGCAGGUGCGUGGAGAGGCAAGAGAGUUUUGUUUAGAGAGAAAAGUCUGCAACUGUUCCCCGAAGCUCUUAGCUAAUUAACAAGCAUCUUCUAAAAUCUCACAGCUUCUUUGGUGUAAAAAUCUAGUGAAAUAGAAUUGGAGCAUUCCAUGGGAUGCUCUGCUGCCCGGGCUCUCUGGCAUCACAGCAGCAUCAGCACAGCAGAUAGUUUCCAUGUUCCAAGCAAGCAGAAAGGACCUGGCAAUAUCUUUGAUCUCUCUGGGGCUGUCUCCCAUCUGAAGCAUGGGGAGUCUGGCCUAAGUUAAGCCUUUUCGGUGUUUUAAAAACAGCACUCUGUUCUUAUUUACAGAAGAGAGUCUGCAAAGAUCAAACUCUAUAAGAUUCCCAAAUAAGAAGAGGUGCAGAGAAGGGCAACACAAAGGUCAGAGGUCAGAGAAAUGUUGAGACCCCAGCACUCUCCACAGUGGAGUAUGACUUUGCACAUCUCUCUUUGACAUGAGUUAGUUACACCCUCGCCACGCACACUGGGGGAUUAUCAUCACAGUAUUGGUAUCUUACUGCAUUUGCUUUUAAACUAGGUCAUUUUGAAAGAGAAGCAUCCCGUCUUUAUCACAUAUAGAACACUAGCAUCCAUCACCAUGUACAGACAGUAAACAUGGAAAACAUUGGCCUCGAAGACAAAACUCUAGUGAAGGUCUGGCCUGUUCUCUUCUCUUUCAAAAAGACAUUAAUGCAGUUAAAGAUACUGGUACCCAAUAGAGAGCUCGUCCUUAAGAGUAAUUCAGUGAAGGGGAAUGCAGGUGAAAAGAAACUCCUCUUUAGAAUUGGUGUUAAAUUGUGCCCUGUAUCCAUAUACUACCUCCCUGACAUACAGUUUGCAUGUACUAGUGACAUACAGUCCUACUUCAAGAAACACUAGGGUGACUUAUCUGAGAGGUUCUUUCCAGGUCAAGUUCUGCAAUCCAUUCCUUCCUUCUAGCUCAUUUUUCCCUCUCGACUCCCUUCACCUCCCCUUUAUCCAACUCUAAGUUAAAGAAGGUCUUUCUUGACCCACAGUCUAUAUUAGUCUAUUUCUUACUCACCCUUCUUGUUGACGUAGACUUCAUCCAAGUAGACUCGGCUCCCUGGUCUGCAGUUGUAAUUUUGACUUCCAAGACACAGUCUGGCCACUAGCAUGUAGCAUAUACUUCCCACAUGAUGCGGUCACAGACAGCUCUCAUACUGCUUGCCUCAUUGCUUUCUGUUUGACUUUGGAAGAUGAACUGAGAAGGGACAAUCAGCAGGGAAUAUCUGUUUAUUCUUUGCCUUCCUCUUGGGAAGGCAGGUAACUCUUAUGACACUGAAAGAGAGCAUGAUCUGUACAAUAAUUGAAGACAAUGAGUAAGAUUAUACAACUGUUUUCUUCUCCUUCCAUCAGACCCCCAGUUUCUAACUCUAUGGGACCAGAUCAUGGCUUCCCUCACCUUCCUGGAGUCUCAGCCUCCACCUGCCUUGGGCUCUGCCUGGAAUUCCCAUCUAACUCCUCCCCCCAGUUUUUUUUUUGGUGUAAAUGGAGCAUAUUUUAUGUGCAAAUAUUUUAGUAACCAUAUGUUCUGCAAGUAAACCCGUGUUAACACUUGUCACACUGCAGAGUUUAUGAUACAAUAACACUUCCUACAAUGAAGAAAAAAACAUUUGUUUGUUUUCUAAGAAUGUUUAUUUGUAAACAUAUGUAUUCACUAUAUUAAUAUGAAUUUCUUACCUGGCAAUAAACUGAUUAUAUGUGA